GACGAACGCUGGCGGCGUGCCUAAUACAUGCAAGUAGAACGCUGAAGAGAGGAGCUUGCUCUUCUUGGAUGAGUUGCGAACGGGUGAGUAACGCGUAGGUAACCUGCCUUGUAGCGGGGGAUAACUAUUGGAAACGAUAGCUAAUACCGCAUAACAAUGGAUGACACAUGUCAUUUAUUUGAAAGGGGCAAUUGCUCCACUACAAGAUGGACCUGCGUUGUAUUAGCUAGUAGGUGAGGUAACGGCUCACCUAGGCGACGAUACAUAGCCGACCUGAGAGGGUGAUCGGCCACACUGGGACUGAGACACGGCCCAGACUCCUACGGGAGGCAGCAGUGGGGAAUCUUCGGCAAUGGGGGCAACCCUGACCGAGCAACGUCGCGUGAGUGAAGAAGGUUUUCGGAUCGUAAAGCUCUGUUGUAAGUCAAGAACGAGUGUGAGAGUGGAAAGUUCACACUGUGACGGUAGCUUACCAGAAAGGGACGGCUAACUACGUGCCAGCAGCCGCGGUAAUACGUAGGUCCCGAGCGUUGUCCGGAUUUAUUGGGCGUAAAGCGAGCGCAGGCGGUUUGAUAAGUCUGAAGUUAAGGCUGUGGCUCAACCAUAGUUCGCUUUGGAAACUGUCAAACUUGAGUGCAGAAGGGGAGAGUGGAAUUCCAUGUGUAGCGGUGAAAUGCGUAGAUAUAUGGAGGAACACCGGUGGCGAAAGCGGCUCUCUGGUCUGUAACUGACGCUGAGGCUCGAAAGCGUGGGGAGCGAACAGGAUUAGAUACCCUGGUAGUCCACGCCGUAAACGAUGAGUGCUAGGUGUUGGAUCCUUUCCGGGAUUCAGUGCCGCAGCUAACGCAUUAAGCACUCCGCCUGGGGAGUACGACCGCAAGGUUGAAACUCAAAGGAAUUGACGGGGGCCCGCACAAGCGGUGGAGCAUGUGGUUUAAUUCGAAGCAACGCGAAGAACCUUACCAGGUCUUGACAUCCCGAUGCUAUUUCUAGAGAUAGAAAGUUACUUCGGUACAUCGGUGACAGGUGGUGCAUGGUUGUCGUCAGCUCGUGUCGUGAGAUGUUGGGUUAAGUCCCGCAACGAGCGCAACCCCUAUUGUUAGUUGCCAUCAUUCAGUUGGGCACUCUAGCGAGACUGCCGGUAAUAAACCGGAGGAAGGUGGGGAUGACGUCAAAUCAUCAUGCCCCUUAUGACCUGGGCUACACACGUGCUACAAUGGUUGGUACAACGAGUUGCGAGUCGGUGACGGCAAGCUAAUCUCUUAAAGCCAAUCUCAGUUCGGAUUGUAGGCUGCAACUCGCCUACAUGAAGUCGGAAUCGCUAGUAAUCGCGGAUCAGCACGCCGCAGUGAAUACGUUCCCGGGCCU
rnacentral:rRNA from 1 species